AAACCAAAGGUGCAGGAUGAAUGCAAAUGGUACAGCUGGACUGGGUGAGUUUAGUGGAAGGACUGAUGUAAAUACACAACUUCCCAGGGUCCUUCCUCUCCACAGGGAGAAAAGGAUCCCUGGAAAAAGGCUGUUCACUGAAGAUUAAUGCAGACACUUGAAGAUGAAUUUGAACCAUUUGGAUUUCUGGGUAUGGUUCGUGCAAUCCCUGCCCAGGGACCACGUCUGAAGCUGGGGCAUGAAAUGAGAAGAGAAACCCAAAUCUAAAGGACUGAAUUGGAAUGAGUGGGUCCAAGGUGUGGCAAUGUGUCUAAAUCCACGCUGAAAUCUAAUCCUACCUUGGUUAACAUAACAGAGAGAACAGGAAGCGCUGUGAAGGAAUUUUUCAUUCCCUGGGACGUCUUUGAUCCCGCUCCCCUCCCUUUUCCUAUCAGGGAUGAAAAGCUGCCCUGCAUUGAGAUUUUGCUGUUGUGUAAGCCGGAACCUGAGAACUCCAGAAUCCAGGAGGGAAUCCGAAUAAAAUUCACCAAUUUUUUUGGUGGAAAACCAAUCAUGGCUUUGCUUCAGCACAGGCAAGGGGCAUUCAAACAUUGCAGCAACCCCAAACAAACCCUUCAAGCAUUUUCUGCUGCAGCCACCUCUUUUUGUCACUCAGUUUGACUUCCUGACAUAGGGAGGGAAUUUUCUUUCACCAUUCUCCAUCUCGGUUUGUGCCCACCUAAAAUUUGCAAAGCUCCAAGCAAAUUAUUGUCUGAUUAAUAUUUGGGGUUCUGGAGGAAUGUGUCCAGCCUUUUUCCAGUCCCACGUGGAAUGCAAGGCUGCAUCUCUGCUUUGGGCAGUAAAACAAGUCAUAAUUAAAAUAUUUAUGAUCCUGAAAGGGCUGGAUUACCACAGAGCAGCCUCCUGCUCAUAACCAGGACAAGUCUGGAGCACUCCAAAGCAGGAGAAAACAUAAAAAUCAUAAAAAUGACACCAAGAUCAUCUCAGAGCAACACCACAGCCCCUCUGCCUGCAGAGGGGUAAAACACACAUCCAAAACAAUGCAAUAUUUCUGUGGAAGUGUUGUAUCUUUAUUCCUUUUUCUACUCUUCAUCCACACUUUUGCUGUUGCGGUUCCACUUAUCCCACAGAUCACCAGGAAAUAAAAUUUCAUCCUCAACUCCCUUCUCUUCAUGUUAAAGGGUUUGUUUGCCAUCACUUAAGGAUCAUUCUCUCCCACUCUCACCAGUUCCUGGGGUUUUUAAGGCUGUGAGGGAAGGGGAGAUCAGAAGAAAGAUGUGGCAGCUUUUCUGUUGUUUUGAAGUGAAGGAAUAAGCUUGGAAAACGCAUUCCCUGACUUUGUAUCCAUCACCUCCAGGACCAUCAGAUCCUUCUGGUGCACAGCAGGAAGGUCCUGCAGCUCCCAGUGCUCCCUGGGAUCUUGAAAAUAUCCUUUCUGUCAUUCUGGGAUUUAAGACAGCACAACUGACAGGAAAAAGAAGUUUAGAAAGUCAUUGGGAAAAACAAAAAUCGUUGGCGUGAUUCUGCAGGUUACUAAGACUUAAUGAUUUGUUAUUUCCAAUUUAAUCUUUGUGCUUUCUCAUGGAAGCAGACUGAGGUGAGAGUUCUUCAUUAAAUUAAAAAAAAAA